rnacentral:rRNA from 1 species
CAGUAGCCACGGGAAUACGUAGGUGGCAAGCGUUGUCCGGAAUUAUUGGGCGUAAAGGGCUCGCAGGCGGUUUCUUAAGUCUGAUGUGAAAGCCCCCAGCUCAACCGGGGAGGGUCAUUGGAAACUGGGAAACUUGAGUGCAGAAGAGGAGAGUGGAAUUCCACGUGUAGCGGUGAAAUGCGUAGAGAUGUGGAGGAACACCAGUGGCGAAGGCGACUCUCUGGUCUGUAACUGACGCUGAGGAGCGAAAGCGUGGGGAGCGAACAGGAUUAGAUACCCCAGUAGUCCCUGUCUCUUAUAA